UAUCCUCUAACUCACACCACCCGUAUAAUAAUUGUUGUCUAUAUAUUCAUGAAAGGUUUAGAGUCUUCUAUAGAAGGGAAGGAAAAAAAUUAAACUUCUUCAAUGAAAUAUGUUAAACUUCAUAAAUGUCAGCUCCGGCAAGAUGAGAUGCUCCCUGCCUAUCCGGAAACCGGCAAUCUAAAGGAAGCAAUGGGAGCCAAAGAAGGUGAGCACAUGAAAUAUCAAGUGACAAAACUUGUUGAAGCCAUACAAAGGGUCAUUGUGGCUAGACAUCAACGAGAAAGAAGAGUGGAAUCAUCCAAUGGCGCCGGUGAAUAUGAAAGCUAAAAGAUCAAGCAUUUCCAAUAAUCCAAGGAGAAUAAGAAGGCAAAGAUUUGAAAUUGUGACUUUUUGUACUCUAAGGUGGAUAUUUGGGUAUUAAUAAAUCAAUGGUUAAAAAAUCUCAUGUAAGUUUGAAGGGACUUGUAUUUGUAUAUGUGUUAGGAGUAAGC
rnacentral:lncRNA from 1 species